GUUCCGGUAGAAAAAUAUGUUUGUGUUCUGACAUUAUCGUCGACUUCAUAACGCCAUAUAUUCGUGUUUAUGAAGAAGCAUGAUUACUUUGUCUAAAAAACUGAAGCAGCAGAGUCAGGCUAAGAAAGAUGCAGCUGAAGCCGAGGUCCCUAGGAGGGUCUCUGUCCGAGACAAACUACUAGUCAAAGAGGUGCAAGAAAUGGAAGAAAAUCUACCAAAGACAUGUCGUGCACAGUUUGAUGACAUCAAUAAAAUACACAAGUUCUUUCUGAUCAUUUGCCCAGAUGAAGGCUUUUGGCAGGGUGGAAAGUUCAAGUUUCAUAUAGAUGUGCCUGAGGACUACAAUAUAGUGCCUCCUCAGGUUAUCUGCUGUACAAAAAUAUGGCAUCCGAAUAUCACAGAGAAUGGCGAAGUAUGCCUCAGUCUCUUGCGACAGAAUUCCUAUGAUAGUAUGGGUUGGGCACCUACAAGACACUUGAAGGAUGUAGUGUGGGGAUUGAAUUCAUUAUUUUCAGACUUACUAAACUUUGAUGACCCAUUGAAUGUAGAAGCUGCUGAACAUUAUGCUAGAGAUAGGGAAGGAUUCAAGGCCAAAGUUCGAGACUACAUAUCCCAGCAUGCAAAAAGAUAAUGACAGACUGUGUAGGUUGUGUCCCAGACUUGACCCGCUUCCAGAUACUUUAUACUUGCACACAAAUACAACACUGAUAGAAGUGGUUGUAAUCAUGGCAACUAUAGAUCUCCAUAGAAAAUAGUAACUUAAUAAGUUAAUGUUGCCAUUUGUAAUGAAGCAUGGCUCUUUGUGGAAUCCGGAAGUGAACAGUGAAGAACAUCUGCUCUUUGAAAUUGACAAGCUGAUGGGCUGGCAGCAUUUCGUGUGUGACCUUGGGAUACAGGUGUAUGUGUAUGAGAUACCGUGACAUACACUGCAUGAACAGGCAGUGUAUAUAAAGCCUGUCUCAGUUACAGUGUGGAUUUGUUACCUAUGUUAUAUUCAUGUGGAAGUGAUCACAUGGUGGAAACCUACCUUAACUCGAUUGUGAUGACACUGUUUGGAAUUUGAGGACUUGUAUAGUUGGUGGCAUUAAGCAUUAAUUUCAUAAGAAUGGAAAAGCUGUAGCUUAUCUGAGUGAAUGGAAGAAACUGGAUCCCCAUCAUGACCAGAGGAUGUUCUUCCUCAUCACUAUGCCUGCCAACCAUGGUCAUCUAAAUAUAGCUUUUGCAAACUGUGUGUCACCCUUACUUUGUUUGAUACCUUUGUCUCUUGUCACCAAGAAAUUACUCACUUACACAGUGCAGAAUAUCAUCACACACCUUUGACAUCUUCAUGGCAUGUUUACAUUAUGGGUAGUUAAGGUUCUGGUUAAACAUGGAUUUGUAAAGCCACCUUUACCUUUAUGAUGUCCCUUAGGUUAAGAGCACCACACUCAUGCUCAUAUGUUUCAAAGUAGUAUACACCUGCAUCACUCUGUGUUUUGUUCCCUCAACAAACUGACAUGCCAUGAAGAAAUGAAAUGCACAUUAAAGUGCAUAUGAACACACUCAUGUCCUUUUACAAGAGAGAAAUAUGCUGUACAGAUAAGACACCUUGUUGCAGCUUACAAUGGUGUUAUAUGAGAUGCAUGCUAGUGAACACCGCAUUGUUUGGGUAGCAAGUACCAUUUGGAAGGAGUUAUUGUAUCAACUCCCCCUGCUGGCUUCAAACACCUCUCAUGUUCUACUGUAGUCUUAAGUUUACUACAUUUCAGAAUUCAUGAAUGGUCAUAUUGAUUCUGAUAUUCUCCCUUUCUUUAAAAAGGUGUUUUCUUAUUAUACCAUUUUGACAGAUUUACACGAGAUAUCUGUUAGGGGGGACAAACUCUACACAUUUGACAUCUUAAUCUGAUCAUUUUACAUUAUUAGCCCUUGUAACAGACUUGUUCACUUAUCCCACUGUCUCUGACCACGACAGCUGAACCAACACAAGGAGCUGCUGCUAGUGUUGGUAUUUGAUGUGACUCACGCCUGUGACUGUCAUCUGAACCAACACAAGGAGCUGCUGCUAGUGUUGGUAUUUGAUGUGACUCACGCCUGUGACUGUCAGCACAACCAACACAAGGAGCUGCUGCUAGUGUUGGUAUUUGAUGUGACUCACACUUGUGAGUGUCAUCUGAACCAACACAAGGAGCUGCUGCUAGUGUUGGUAUUUGAUGUGACUCACGCCUGUGACUGUCAGCACAACCAACACAAGGAGCUGCUGCUAGUGUUGGUAUUUGAUGUGACACACUUGUGAGUGUCAGCUGAACCAACACAAGGAGCUGCUGCUAGUGUUGGUAUUUGAUGUGACUCACACUUGUGAGUGUCAGCUUAACAAACACAAGGAGCUGCUUGUCACUUGAUGUGACUCGCCAUACUUCCUACUACAUGUCUUAUAACAAAAGUUAGGUGGUACACAUGCCAGUGUUAGUGUUGAAGAGAACCUGCCCCAUACUACAGUCAAUACAUUCUAUAGAUUUGAGUUAAACUGCUGUAUUGAAGGGAAAUAUAAAGAUUCACUGUCUUAUAAACUAGUGUUGCUGAUGCUUCCUUGAUUUCAUCAUGUGCUAACCGGGUCCUUGUUCGUUAUCAAUCUUGUCUGAACAGAUCACAAUCAUAUGUCUGGGGACCUUAGUAUUGAACAGCAAUGAACUGCAGUCAGAUUAACAAUUAACCAAACACAGCAGCAAGAGCUAGGCCUAGUUGACACCCCAGGGGGAGAUGUCUGUAGCAGCCAGGGUCUAGAUAUUUGAAGCUCUCUUAGAGCUAAGAUAGUUGUAAGUUAAUGUUAAUGUAUGGCACUUACGACUAUCUUAGCUCUAAGAGAACUUCGAAAAUCUAGGCCCUGAGCUGGGCCUAGUUGAGCCCUGAGCUGGGCCUAGUUGACACCUCAGUGGAACAUGUCUGUAGCUGCAAGAGCUAGGCCUAGAUGACACCCCAGGAGAUAUGUCUGUAGCGGCAAGAGCUAGGCCUAGAUGACACCCCAGGGGGAGAUGUCUGUAGCUGCAAGAGCUAGGCCUAGUUGACAGCCCAGUGGGAGAUGUCUGUAGCUGCAAGAGCUGGGCCUAGUUGACACCCCAGGAGAUGUCUGUAGUGGCAAUAGCUAGGCCUAGUUGACACCCCAGUGGGAGAUGUCUGUAGCGGCAAGAGCUAGGCCUAGUUGACACCCCAGUGGGAAUGUCUGUAGCGGCAAGAGCUGGGCCUAGUUGACACCCCAGUGGGAGAUGUCUGUAGCGGCAAGAGCUAGGCCUAGUUGACACCACAGUGGGAGAUGUCUGUAGCAGCAAGAGCUGGGCCUAGUUGACACCACAGUUGGAGAUGUCUGUAGCGGCAAGAGCUAGGCCUAGUUGACACCCCAGUGGGAGAUGUCUGUAGUGGAAAGAGCUAGGCCUAGUUGACACCACAGUGGGAGAUGUCUGUAGUGGCAAGAGCUGGGCCUAAUUGACACCACAGUGGGAGAUGUCUGUAGUGGCAAGAGCUAGGCCUAGUUGACAUCCCAGUGGGAGAUGUCUGUAGCGGCAAGAGCUGGGCCUAGUUGACACCCCAGUGGGAGAUGUCUGUAGCGGCAAGAGCUAGGCCUAGUUGACACCCCAGUGGGAGAUGUCUGUAGUGGCAAGAGCUGGGCCUAGUUGACACCCCAGUGGGAGAUGUCUGUAGUGGCAAGAGCUGGGCCUAGUUGACACCCCAGUGGGAGAUGUCUGUAGUGGCAAGAGCUAGGCCUAGUUGACACCCCAGUGGGAGAUGUCUGUAGUGGCAAGAGCUGGGCCUAGUUGACACCCCAGUGGGAGAUGUCUGUAGUGGCAAGAGCUGGGCCUAGUUGACACCCUAGUGGGAGAUGUCUGUAGUGGCAAGAGCUGGGCCUAGUUGACAUCCCAGUGGGAGAUGUCUGUAGUGGCAAGAGCUGGGCCUAGUUGACACCCCAGUGGGAGAUGUCUGUAGUGGCAAGAGCUGGGCCUAGUUGACAUCCCAGUGGGAGAUGUCUGUAGUGGCAAGAGCUGGGCCUAGUUGACACCCCAGUGGGAAUGUCUGUAGCGGCAAGAGCUGGGCCUAGUUGACACCCAAGUGGGAGAUGUCUGUAGCGGCAAGAGCUAGGCCAAGUUGACACCACAGUGGGAGAUGUCUGUAGCAGCAAGAGCUGGGCCUAGUUGACACCCCAGUGGGAGAUGUCUGUAGCGGCAAGAGCUAGGCCUAGUUGACACCCCAGUGGGAGAUGUCUGUAGCGGAAAGAGCUAGGCCUAGUUGACACCACAGUGGGAGAUGUCUGUAGUGGCAAGAGCUGGGCCUAGUUGACACCACAGUGGGAAAUGUCUGUAGUGGCAAGAGCUAGGCCUAGUUGAC
rnacentral:misc_RNA from 1 species